UACGGAGGGAGCUAGCGUUGUUCGGAAUUACUGGGCGUAAAGCGCGCGUAGGCGGCUUUGUAAGUUAGAGGUGAAAGCCCGGGGCUCAACCCCGGAACUGCCUUUAAGACUGCAUCGCUUGAAUCCAGGAGAGGUGAGUGGAAUUCCCAGUGUAGAGGUGAAAUUCGUAGAUAUUGGGAAGAACACCGGUGGCGAAGGCGGCUCACUGGCUCAUUACUGACGCUCAGGCGCGAUAGCGUGGGGAGCAAACAGG
rnacentral:rRNA from 1 species